GAUUAGAGUUGGUAUCGUGAUCUUCUGGAAGUAUGUGGUAUGAGAGAGAUGAUGUUAUAUUCAGUAGAGUUGAUAUCCAUUGCCAAAUGAAAAAGCACGAAUGGCCAUUUUGAGUCGCUUGGUGACAUGAUGAUUCGAGGAGCAUGACCGGCAAACCUACCUUCAGUUUUAACUUAUGGUCUGGUAUUCCUGGGGACGUUAAGGUGUUGAGGAGCUCAGUAGGCUGCAUGUUCAUCAUGAUGUUGGUAUUUGUCGUUGCCUUGCACACUGUGUCCAGGCUUAGGUAUGUCACCUCUUCACCUUGUAUUUGGCUCAUUAUGUGGUCAUUUAUCUCCUUGACUGUAUCAUUUCUUGGACAUAGUAUUGCUCUUUCUUCUAGGUAAUCCCGCUCACGGUAUUUUUGCAGCAAAUUUGGGUAUAUGCUUUUGACGAUUUGUUCUUUACGAUUUUCUCCUUUCUCUAGCAGUAGGUCUUUUGGUAUUUUUAUCCAAUCCUCUCCUUCAUCUGAUGUUGUUUUGCCAUCGCCAAUCUGUAGUAUCCACUCUGCAAAUUCAGCGACCUUUUGCUUUUGUAUUGGAUCAUCUGACAAACACUUCAGCCGCAUGUUUUGUGUUAACUCAAAUAUUUCAAAGUGUUUCCACAGAUAUGACCUUUUGAUUGAAGCAUUUACUAUCUGCUCUCUCCUUCCUUUGGUUAUAACUGGCAGGAUUUGUCUGAAGUCGCCUCCUAGUAUAACUGUCAUUCCACCAAAUGGCUUUUCAUCGCUGUUUUCAUUAGUGAACCUUAGAAUAUCUCUCAGGCUUUUGUCUAGUGCCUCGAAGCAGUGUUUGUUUGCCAUAGGAGCCUCGUCCCACAAUAUAAGUGAUGUCUUCUUUAGCAGUUCAG